rnacentral:rRNA from 1 species
UACGUAGGGUGCGAGCGUUAAUCGGAAUUACUGGGCGUAAAGCGUGCGCAGGCGGUUCGACAAGUCCGAUGUGAAAGCCCCGGGCUCAACCUGGGAAUGGCAUUGGAAACUGGCGAGCUUGAGUGUGGCAGAGGGGGGUGGAAUUCCGCGUGUAGCAGUGAAAUGCGUAGAGAUGCGGAGGAACACCGAUGGCGAAGGCAGCCCCCUGGGCUGACACUGACGCUGAGGCGCGAAAGCCAGGGGAGCAAACGGG